rnacentral:rRNA from 1 species
GGCGUCUAAUACCGGAUACGACGCGGGAGGGCAUCCUCUCCGCGUGGAAAGAACUUCGGUUCGGGAUGAGCUCGCGGCCUAUCAGCUUGUUGGUGAGGUAACGGCUCACCAAGGCGACGACGGGUAGCCGGCCUGAGAGGGUGACCGGCCACACUGGGACUGAGACACGGCCCAGACUCCUACGGGAGGCAGCAGUGGGGAAUAUUGCACAAUGGGCGCAAGCCUGAUGCAGCAACGCCGCGUGAGGGACGACGGCCUUCGGGUUGUAAACCUCUUUUAGUAGGGAAGAAGCGAAAGUGACGGUACCUGCAGAAAAAGCACCGGCUAACUACGUGCCAGCAGCCGCGGUAAUACGUAGGGUGCAAGCGUUGUCCGGAAUUAUUGGGCGUAAAGAGCUCGUAGGCGGUCUGUCGCGUCUGCUGUGAAAACCCGAGGCUCAACCUCGGGCCUGCAGUGGGUACGGGCAGACUAGAGUGCGGUAGGGGAGAAUGGAAUUCCUGGUGUAGCGGUGGAAUGCGCAGAUAUCAGGAGGAACACCGAUGGC